rnacentral:lncRNA from 1 species
CGGGGAUCGGCUUUGUGGCCGCUUAAUAGAGGUGGCCGCUAAAUAGAGGUACGCAAAUAAUAGACCCUGGGCGUAGUCAAAUGUCUAUUUUUAAUUAUAAAUCACAGAAUACAAUAGUGAUUUUAUCUUUAGUUCUCAGUUUCAUCUACUACAACAUUUUUUCACAGGCAUACAUUGUGCCAACAACACGAGGCCAUCACACUAUCAUAUUUCACCCUAAACAUUUUGAACAAACAUUUAGGGACUAUUGUGGCAUAAAUUUAUUAAUAGGACAUCAAUAUGGUUCUCAUUACCUAUAUCUAAACCUAAAAAUCCUCCAGGCUGGCCGCUUAAUAGAGGUAAAAAUUGACAUAAAACAUCAUUUGGGACCGCUCUUUGGGUGGCCGCGGCCGUUUAAUAGAGGUGGCCGUUUAAUAGAGGGAUAGUUUAUAGUAUUUGUAUUACAAAAAUUUCGGGACUUCAAUAUGUGGCCGUUUAAUAGAGGGUGGCCGCUUAAUGGAGGGCCGCUUAAUAGAGGUUCGACUGUAAUUUCUAUAUUCUCUCACGUACUAUGUUAUCUUUAUAGGUCAGCAGUGAUUGGAUAAUUUUAUUAACGUGAUAUAUGUUAAAAUUUUCUGAAACUGGGGUCAGCAUGUACUGACCAGUAUAGAAGCAGUUUUAUUAGUUUUAUUGUGAUAUUUUGACGAUCGAAUAAAUUAGUUUAGAGAAUUAACAGAUAUUUGGUAUAAAAUUUGGAAGUAUAUAAUACAGUAUAUAGUACUGUACUGUCUUUCUAUCAACUAAAACAAUUUCUAAUUAAAUCAAGACAAAAAAGUUAAAACUUGUUUCUAAAGGUAAAACUUGUUUGACAACUUGUUUCUUCAAUUGUCAAAAUAUUAUACUGUGCUACUUUACGAAGCCGUAUAUAAGACAUAAUUACAAUUAUUUACAAAUUGUUGCAAAAACACUUUCUUGGACGUUUGAAGUGAUGUAUAGCUGAUGAAGCGAACACCUUGCAUGUUUAAGAUGAUUAGUAAAUAUUUAGUGUGUAUAGUUAAAAUAAUUUAUUAUGGUUUAAAUUUAUAUUAAUAUUCAUGUUUAGCAGUUACAGUUAAAAUGUAUACUAUCCUAUAUUUGCAGCUACCUUGUAUUACAAUAAUAACAAAAUAAUAUUCUAUAAUAAUUAUAUGUUUUGCAGUAUAUUGGUCAUAUGAUGCAGGGGCGUAGGGAGCAGCGCCAAUACGGGCUGAAAUUUCCAUGUUUAUCAAGAAGACACCCCCCGCCCCGCCCAUUCCAGACACUGUCAGAAAUCUCCUUGUAGAUGUCUAACAUUACCCAAGAAAAUAACACUAUUUGGGUUCACUUAAUAUUCCUGGUUAAAUUUCCUGGUUACUGUAUCUCACCUGCUAUCAUAGUGUGGUUAAUGGAACCACACAUCUGGUUAUAUUUGACCAACACUGCAAGACGUUCUUCAAGUUGCUAAAAUACCCAGACUAUAUAUAUGUUAUGUGAAUAAAUAGCUAGGGGCCCAUGUGUAUUUAUCCACCAAACGUAGUCUGUUUAAUUUAACCUGGACGUCCUGGUCGAAUUAACUAUACUUCGACGUCCAGGUCGAAUAUACAUUUAAAUAUAUAUAUAUAUAUACUCCUGAGUAUCGCCUGAAGAUCGCUUUGAAAGCGUGAAAC